AUACGGAGGAUCCGCGCGUUAUCCGGAUUUAUUGGGUUUAAAGGGAGCGUAGGUGGACAGUUAAGUCAGUUGUGAAAGUUUGCGGCUCAACCGUAAAAUUGCAGUUGAUACUGGCUGUCUUGAGUACAGUAGAGGUGGGCGGAAUUCGUGGUGUAGCGGUGAAAUGCUUAGAUAUCACGAAGAACUCCGAUUGCGAAGGCAGCUCACUGGACUGCAUCUGACACUGAUGCUCGAAAGUGUGGGUAUCAAACAGGAUUAGAUACCCUGGUAGUCCACACAGUAAACGAUGAAUACUCGCUGUUUGCGAUAUACAGUAAGCGGCCAAGCGAAAGCAUUAAGUAUUCCACCUGGGGAGUACGCCGGCAACGGUGAAACUCAAAUGAAUUGACGGGG
rnacentral:rRNA from 1 species